AGCGAACGCUGGCGGCAGGCCUAACACAUGCAAGUCGAACGAACCUUUCGGGGUUAGUGGCGGACGGGUGAGUAACACGUGGGAACGUGCCUUUAGGUUCGGAAUAACUCAGGGAAACUUGUGCUAAUCCCGAAUGUGCCCUUCGGGGGAAAGAUUUAUCGCCUUUAGAGCGGCCCACGUCUGAUUAGCUAGUUGGUUGAGGUAAUGGCUCACCAAGGCGACGAUCAGUAGCUGGUCUGAGAGGAUGAUCAGCCACAUUGGGACUGAGACACGGCCCAAACUCCUACGGGAGGCAGCAGUGGGGAAUCUUGCGCAAUGGGCGAAAGCCUGACGCAGCCAUGCCGCGUGAAUGAUGAAGGUCUUAGGAUUGUAAAAUUCUUUCACCGGGGACGAUAAUGACGGUACCCGGAGAAGAAGCCCCGGCUAACUUCGUG
rnacentral:rRNA from 1 species